GGUUGCAAUAUAGUGGUAAGUAUUCAAUCUAUCGGAUGACAUUGUGUAAGCUACUGUUUCGAAUUGCUCCGAAUGAUUUCCAUAAAUUCAGAAAUAAUUCAACAAACAAUACACUUUUAAAAGAAACUUUUGAUUGAUUUUGACCCUCAAAAUCGCAAAUUCCUCAUUUUUCUAUUUUAUUUAAUUUAUUUUUUGUUUUUUAUAUUUUCGAAAAAAU
rnacentral:lncRNA from 1 species